rnacentral:rRNA from 1 species
AGUUUGAUCAUGGCUCAGAUUGAACGCUGGCGGAAUGCUUUACACAUGCAAGUCGAACGGCAGCACGGACUUCGGUCUGGUGGCGAGUGGCGAACGGGUGAGUAAUAUAUCGGAACGUAUCCAAUAAUGGGGGAUAACUAAUCGAAAGGUUGGCUAAUACCGCAUACGCCCUACGGGGGAAAGCUAGGGACCUUCGGGCCUGGCGUUAAUGGAGCGGCUGAUAUCUGAUUAGCUAGUUGGUGAGGUAAAGGCUCACCAAGGCGACGAUCAGUAGCUGGUCUGAGAGGACGACCAGCCACACUGGAACUGAGACACGGUCCAGACUCCUACGGGAGGCAGCAGUGGGAAUUUGGACAAUGGGCGCAAGCCUGAUCCAGCCAUUCCGCGUGAGUGAAGAAGGCCUUCGGGUUGUAAAGCUCUUUCGCAAGGGAAGAAAAAUUACGCUCUAACAUAGCGUGAUGAUGACGGUACCUUGAUAAGAAGCACCGGCUAACUACGUG